AUUGGAGAGCUUGCUUUCCAUGAGAGUGGCGCACGGGUGCGUAACACGUAUGUAACCUACCCUUGUCAGGGGGAUAGCCUCUCGAAAGAGAGAUUAAGCCCGCAUAACAUCAAUUAAUGGCAUCAUUGAUUGAUCAAAUAUUUAUAGGACAAGGAUGGGCAUGCGGAACAUUAGCUAGUUGGUAAGGUAACGGCUUACCAAGGCUACGAUGUUUAGGGGAUCUGAGAGGAUGACCCCCCACACUGGUACUGAGACACGGACCAGACUCCUACGGGAGGCAGCAGUAAGGAAUAUUGGUCAAUGGGCGGAAGCCUGAACCAGCCAUGCCGCGUGCAGGAAGACGGCCCUACGGGUUGUAAACUGCUUUUAUACCGGAAUAACCCUCAUUACGAGUAAUGGGCUGAAUGUACGGUAAGAAUAAGGAUCGGCUAACUCCGUGCCAGCAGCCGCGGUAAUACGGAGGAUCCAAGCGUUAUCCGGAUUUAUUGGGUUUAAAGGGUGCGUAGGUGGCUUUUUAAGUCAGGGGUGAAAGACGGUAGCUUAACUAUCGCAGUGCCUUUGAUACUGAAGAGCUUGAAUGAACUAGAGGUAGGCGGAAUGUGACAAGUAGCGGUGAAAUGCAUAGAUAUGUCACAGAACACCAAUUGCGAAGGCAGCUUACUAUGGUUUUAUUGACACUGAGGCACGAAAGCGUGGGGAUCAAACAGGAUUAGAUACCCUGGUAGUCCACGCCCUAAACGAUGAACACUCGAUGUUGGCGAUAUACGGUCAGCGUCUAAGCGAAAGCGUUAAGUGUUCCCACCUGGGGAGUACG
rnacentral:rRNA from 1 species